rnacentral:tRNA from 1 species
UAGCUCAGUUGGUAGAGCACGGCGCUUGCAAUGCCAAGGUUGUGGGUUCAUUUCCCAC